rnacentral:rRNA from 1 species
GCGGUAAUUCCAGCUCCAAUAGCGUAUAUUAAUGUUGCUGCUGUUAAAGGGUUCGUAGUUGGACUCAGGGCGUGCGGAUGCUGGCACGCUCGUGCCCGCUCUUCCACGCCCUGUCACAGGCGGAGCAGCGCCCAGUCGUGCGUGCCUUUAGUGGCUCGCACGGCACCCUUCGGGAUCGAGUCCGACAGACUCGCGGGCCGUCCGCCGUUCUCACCGUGAAUAAAACAGCGUGUUCAAUGCAGCCGUUCGGCCGCAUGAGAAAGCAUGGAAUGACAGAGCAUCGACCAGCUGGUCAGCUUAUGUUGGUUUUAGCCCUCAGUUGGGUAACUCGCGGCCCGUUACUGUCCUCGGACGGGGCGGGCCUGCACGGGAUUAACGGGGGUUGUCGGGGAGAAACGUAUACGGACGUGAGAGGUGAAAUUCUUAGACCGUCCGUGGACGAACUUACGCGAAGGCAUUUCUCAAGUAUACCUUCAUCAAUCAAGAACUAAAGUGUGGAGAUCGAAGAUGAUUAGAUACCAUUGUAGUCCACGACUGCAAACGAUGACGCCCAUGGAUCGGAUAUGUUUCGCAUAUCGAUGGGAUCUUUUCGGCACUGCUCCCCUUCAACGCGAAAGCUGAGGCUAUGGUCUCAUGGGGAAGUACGUUCGCAAGGCUGAAACUUAAAGAAAUUGACGGAAUGGCACCACCAGACGUGGAGUGUGCGGUUUAAUUUGACUCAACACGGGGAACCUUACCAGGACAGGACAACGGAAGGAUUGACAGACUGAACGAUCUUUCUUGAUUCGUUUGACGGUGGUGCAUGGCCGCUUUUGGUCGGUGAAGUGAUUUGUUUGGUUGAUUCCUGUAACGGACGAGACCCAAUCCGCCUACUAGGUGCGUGAUCAUGCGGGCACGCGCCCGAGAUCGCGUAUCCUUCUUGGCGGGAUUCCAUGCGCCUUAGCAUGGUGAGAUUUUGGGCAACAGCAGGUCCGUGAUGCUCCUACAUGUCCUGGGCGACACGCGCACUACAAUGGCAAAGUGAAUGAGUGAAGCCCUUGGCCCUGCUUCGAGAGAAGUGGGAAAACUUCGAAAACUAUGUCGUGCUUGGGAUCGAAGCUUGCAAUUAUUCUUCUUGAACGAGGAAUGUCUAGUAGACGUGCUUCAUCAGAGCACAUUGACUACGUCCCUGCCAUUUGUACACACCGCCCGUCGUUGUUACCGAUGCCAGUCGGGUACAGGUCAGCGGACUGUGGCAGUAGGUUAUCUUCUGGCCGCAGGAAGCUGCCCGAUAUCCAACUAGUAGAGGAAGCAAAAGUCGUAACAAGGUAGCUGUAGGUGAACCUGCAGAAGGAUCA